GACGAAGGUGGCGAGCGUUGUUCGGAAUUACUGGGCGUAAAGCGCGCGUAGGCGGUUUUGCAAGCCAGAGGUGAAAUGCUUGAGCUCAACUUAGGAAUUGCCUUUGGGACUGCGAGGCUUUGAGGACUGGAGAGGUGAGUGGAAUUCCCAGUGUAGAGGUGAAAUUCGUAGAUAUUGGGAAGAACACCGGUGGCGAAGGCGGCUCACUGGCCAGUUUCUGACGCUGCAGCGCGAAAGCGUGGGGAUCAAACAGG
rnacentral:rRNA from 1 species